GAAGCCUGAUGCAGCCAUGCCGCGUGAAUGAUGAAGGCCUUAGGGUUGUAAAAUUCUUUCGCUAGGGAUGAUAAUGACAGUACCUAGUAAAGAAGCCCCGGCUAACUUCGUGCCAGCAGCCGCGGUAAUACGAAGGGGGCUAGCGUUGUUCGGAAUUACUGGGCGUAAAGCGCACGUAGGCGGACUUUUAAGUCAGAUGUGAAAUCCCGGGGCUCAACCUCGGAACUGCAUUUGAAACUGGAAGUCUAGAGACCAGGAGAGGUUAGCGGAAUACCGAGUGUAGAGGUGAAAUUCGUAGAUAUUCGGUGGAACACCAGUGGCGAAGGCGGCUAACUGGACUGGUACUGACGCUGAGGUGCGAAAGUGUGGGGAGCAAACAGGAUUAGAUACCCUGGUAGUCCACACCGUAAACGAUGAGAGCUAGUUGUUGGCAGGCAUGCCUGUCGGUGACGCAGCUAACGCAUUAAGCUCUCCGCCUGGGGAGUACGGUCGCAAGAUUAAAACUCAAAU
rnacentral:rRNA from 1 species